rnacentral:tRNA from 1 species
GGUCUGUUAGUCUAGAGGUAUGGUUCUCACUUUGGGUGUGAGCAGUCCUGGGUUCAAAUCCUAAAUGAGCCA